UAGGGAAUCUUCCGCAAUGGGCGAAAGCCUGACGGAGCAACGCCGCGUGAGUGAUGAAGGUCUUCGGAUCGUAAAACUCUGUUAUUAGGGAAGAACAAAUGUGUAAGUAACUAUGCACGUCUUGACGGUACCUAAUCAGAAAGCCACGGCUAACUACGUGCCAGCAGCCGCGGUAAUACGUAGGUGGCAAGCGUUAUCCGGAAUUAUUGGGCGUAAAGCGCGCGUAGGCGGUUUUUUAAGUCUGAUGUGAAAGCCCACGGCUCAACCGUGGAGGGUCAGUGGAAGCUGGAAAACUUGAGUGCAGAAGAGGAAAGUGGAAUUCCAUGUGUAGCGGUGAAAUGCGCAGAGAUAUGGAGGAACACCAGUGGCGAAGGCGACUUUCUGGUCUGUAACUGACGCUGAUGUGCGAAAGCGUGGGGAUCAAACAGG
rnacentral:rRNA from 1 species